CCUACGGGAGGCAGCAGUGGGGAAUAUUGGACAAUGGGGGCAACCCUGAUCCAGCCAUGCCGCGUGUGUGAAGAAGGCCCUCGGGUUGUAAAGCACUUUCAGUGAGGAAGAACGCCUGGUGGUUAAUACCCAUCAGGAAAGACAUCACUCACAGAAGAAGCACCGGCUAACUCCGUGCCAGCAGCCGACGGUAAUACGGAGGGUGCGAGCGUUAAUCGGAAUUACUGGGCGUAAAGCGCGCGUAGGUGGCUUGAUAAGCCGGUUGUGAAAGCCCCGGGCUCAACCUGGGAACGGCAUCCGGAACUGGCCAGCUAGGAGGGAGGGGAGGAAGGGAGAAUUGCCGGGGGAGGGGGGAAAAUGGUUGAGGGCGGGAGGGAUACCAGGGGCGAAGGCGGCCUUCUGGACUGACACUGACACUGGGGUGCGAAAGCGUGGGUAGCAAACAGGAUUAGAUACCCUAGUAGUC
rnacentral:rRNA from 1 species